CCUCGGCCCGCCGCGCUACCUCACAGGGUUGCUAGGAGGAGGAGGAGAACGCAAGAGGAGGCCCCAGGCCGCUCUCGCCGUGGCCGGACGGAUCGUUUUAAGACCCCGCCUUUGUUACCCCAAGGAGCUCAAGGUGGCGCAGUGACCCUCACAGACAACCCUGCGAGGGACAAGGAUGAAAAAAGUCUACACUAAUGAAGAAAUUCAAGUUUUUAAAGAAAAAAGAAAACCAAGCAGCUUCAGUGCACAGAAUGCUAACUGACAGUUGCAGGAAUGGUGUGACUUGAACCAGAACAGACUGUUCAUAUGACAAUGUUUUGUUGCAGGAACCCCAAUGGUUCUAUAAAAUUUUAAAAUAAGG